CUAAAAGAGUCGUGCCAGUAGCUUUCAAGCAAGAUAUUCUCAUCUCAAUCUAAAAAUACAGCGCCGUAGAAAAGGACCAUUAGUCAAAACUGACGAGAUAUAGCUUACCUCCCUUUCCACGUGGAAGAAAACGGUGGACAGAGACUUGCUAGCUACGUAGCUGGCUUUUCUACAAUGAAUCUGGUCAUCUAAAGUGUAUGGACUUCCUGCUGCCUUCUUCUACUACAGGUCAUCUAAAGUGACAUCAUGAGUGGAGAGAAGGAAACGUUGUUCGCUGAAAUCGAACAGAGUUUACACCGUCUAACCGAGGAUAAUUUACGAUACCUGUGUGAACGCUGUGGAAUUGAUGGCGCCCAAGUUAAAGGAAAGAACCAUCGCUCGUUACGACGUAAAAUCAUGGAGGAAAUGUGGGAAAAUGCAGAUUCGGUGAAAUCGGAAGAGCAGGGAAUGUCUUGGUUACUCCAACUGAAAGAGGACAUCAGAAAGAUACAGGAAGAAUCUAGUGUGGCACCCAUGAGUCCCAGACAGUCUGAUGAUGACGAAGCGGGGGACAGCCCUAACGGUCGCUCACUCAGUGGGAAGGGUUUAUCAUCUGGGAAGACUCCAGGGUUGAAAGGGAUCCAGCGACCUUAUAGCUGUGAUGUGUGUAAGAAGACUUUCACUCAGUCAGUAAACCUACAAAGACACCAAAGAGUACACA